rnacentral:misc_RNA from 1 species
GGUUAGUUCAAUGCAUGUAGUGCCUAAAAAGGGUGAGACAACUGUUAUUAAAAAUGAAAAUAAUAAGCUAAUUCCUACUAAGAUGGUCACUGGUUGGCGUAUGUGCAUUGAUUAUAAGAAGUUGAAUAGUGUCACCAAGAAGGACCACUUUCCUCUUCCAUUUAUUUACCAAAUGCUUGAAAGGCUAGCUAAGUAUAUCUACUUUUGUUACUUGGAUAGGUAUUCAGGAUUUUUUCAAAUCCCAAUUCACCUAGAAGAUCAAGAAAAGGCCAUAUUUACUUGUCCUUAUAGUACUUUUGCCUAUAGGAGAAUGUCUUUUAGUCUUUAUAAUGCCCCAAUCACUUUUUAAAGAUGCAUGAUGGCUAUUUUUUCUAAUUUUAUUAAAAAUAUUAUGGAUGUUUUUAUGGAUGAUUUCUCUAUUUAUGGAACCAUUUUUUAUAAGUGUUUAGCUAACCUGUCUAAAGUGUUACAAAGAUGUGAGGAGUCAAACCUAGUCCUCAAUUGGGAAAAAUGCCACUUUAUGGUACGAUAGGGCAUAGUUCUUGGUCAGUUGGUAUUAGAAAGAGGAAUUGAAGUGGACAAGGUGAAGAUCGAGAUAAUAGAGAAAAAUGCCAUCACCAUCAUCAGUCAAAGGAGUGCGAAGCUUUUUGGGACAUGCAAGCUUCUAUAGAAGAUUUAUUAAGGAUUUCUUAAAAAUAGCUAAGCCAUUAACAAACUUAUUAAAUCAAGUCGGUCCCUUUGAUUUUAAUGAUAGUUACCUUGACUCCUUUGCAGGAUAAAGGAAGCCUUAAUUUCUGCACCCAUAGUGUAACCACCAGAAUACGAGCUGCAAUUUGAAGUAAUGUGCAGUGCAAGUGAUUAUGCAGUAGGAAUAGUGCUUAGACAAAGGAAGGAUAGAAAAGUCUACGCUAUCUACUACACAAACAAAACACUUGAUGACACACAGGUUAACUAUGUAACCAUAGAGAAGGAAUUUCUAGCAGUAAUGUUUGCAAUUAAAAGUUCAGAUCCUACAUAGUUGGAUCCAAAGUCAUUGUGUACACAAACUAUGCUACUAUCUAGGGCCUCUUAAACAAAAAGGAAGCUAAACCAAGGUUGAUCCAGUGGAUUCUUCUUGUACAGGAAUUCAACCUUGAAAUUAAAGACAAGAAAGGGACCAAGAAUGUGGUAGCAGACCACCUCUCUAGACUGAAGUAGGAAGAUAAAGGGAUUUCUACCAAAAGACCUGCCAAUUGAUGACUCCUUUUCAGAUGAGCACCUCCUAGCCAUCUCUCAACCCCUAUGGUAUGCAGGUAUUGUUAAUUAUCUUGUAUGUAGAGUUUUGCCACCAAACAUCUUCUACCAACAAAAGAAAAAAUUCCUACAUGAUGUAAAGGACUAUACUUGGGAGGAACCUCUGUUGUAAAAAAGAUGCAAUGAUGGGCUUAUUAGGAAAUGCCAGAGGAGGAAAUAGAAAGUGUGUUACAACAUUGCCAUUCAUCAACCUAUAGAGGACAUUUUAGCACCUCUAAGACAAUAGCAUAGAUCUUACAAGCAAGAUUCUAUUGGUUAAAUUUGUUCAAAGAUGUGAGAAAUUUUGUGCUGAUAUGCAAUUAGUGCCAAAGAGCAGGAAACAUUUCAAGAAGGAAUAAGAUGCCACUCCAUGGAAUACUUGAAGUUGAACUGUUCGAUGUUUGGGGUAUAGACUUCAUGGGUCCAUUCCCAUCCUCAUUUGGCAAUAAGUAUAUAGUUGGUGCAAAUUAUAUAUCAAAGUGGGUAGAAGCAAUAGCCUUAUGAACAAAUGAUAUAAAAGUAGUCAUCAAAUUCCUCAAGAAAUACAUCUUUACAAGAUGUGGUUAUUAGUUAUGGGAGAAGUCACUUCUGCAACAACCAGUUUGAAGAUUUACUAAGGAAAUGUGGAGUGACUCACAAAGUGGCAACACCAUACCACCCUUAAACAAGUAGACAUGUGGAGAUUUCAAAUAGGAAAUUAAAGAGGAUCCUUGAGAAGAUAGUAAACCACUCAAGGAAAGACUGGUCCUUGAAAUUGGAUGAUGCACUAUGGACCUACUACACUUCCUUCAAAACACCUAUUGGAACUACCCCCUUUCGCCUAGUGUAUGAGAAGUCCUACCACCUCCCUAUUGAACUUAAACACAAAGCCUAUUGGGCAAUCCGAACCCUCAACUUUUAUCUCAAGACUAUCAAAGAAAAAAGGCUUUUAUAGCUAAAUGAACUGGAAGAGAUUGGGCAAGACGCCUAUGAGAAUGCAAAGAUCUUUAAGGAAAGAACCAAAACCUAGCAUGUCAAGCAUAUCAUAAGGAGAGAAAUCAAAGAAGGAGAUAUUGUCUUGCUCUUCAACUCCAGAUUAAAACUAAUCCCAAAAAAGCUAAGAUCUAAGUGGCCCAGUCCCUUUAAAGUCCUACAAGUCUUCCCACAUGGAGUAGUAGAAGUGUGGAGUGAAACCUUGAAAGCCUUCAAGGUUAAUGGCCAAAGGCUAAAGACAUACUUCUUGGGAGAACCAAUCAAGAAAGGGGCAACACACUCCUUUAGCAACCCACCUGCACAGCAUUGAGCUAAAAAGGGACAUUUAAGCUAAUGACUAUAAAUAAGCGCUUCUUAGGAGGUAACCCAAGACUUAGAAUUUUUCUUUAAGUUUAUUUUGUUUUUAUUAUUUUUUUUUUAAAGCUUUGUAGGAAUCCCAAACUCUAACAUUGGACAUUAUAGGUGUAAGCAAGGAGUGGAGAGGAAGGAAUGGAAGGAGACAAAGAGUCAAAACCACACAAGAGGGAAAUUUUCAAAAAUAGAGAAGUACAUCUAUUGCUAAUCUUUGUUAUGCAUUUCAUUCACACAUUUAGAAACAAGUUAGCAUGAAAACUUAAAGAGAUAGGAAAAGGUAGCAUCUAAAGUGCCUAGGUUUCUGAUCCAGUAAGUUACACGGGGUACCCUAUGCCAUGAAGCAUGCCUCAUGUAACCUACUAAGCACAAAACACACACACAAAAAGCACUCCAUAAAGUUAUAUGGGGUUCCACAUGCAAGUACACAUAAGUCGUGUAACCAAGGAAGGAAUAAGAAUAGGAGUUUUAAAGAAACAGAAACUUACACGAGUUCCCCACACAGUAUAAGUUGUAGGACUAAAACAAAGAGGGAGAUACAGGGGUAGAAAGUUACAUGGGUUACCCUCGUGUAGUGUUACAUAACCCAUGCAACUUAUCUGACUACAAAAAAAAUAAGACAAAAGAUUACACAGGGCAACCCAUGUAGUGACACGCAGCCCUAUGAAACUUUGCAGAGGCAAUUUGAAAGGGUGCAAAAAUUUUUCACAAAAUGAUGUGCCCUCCCCUUCAAUUCCUAUUUAAACAUUUCCAUACCCCAUUUCAUAAUAUAAAACCUCUUCCUCUUCAAAAAUCUCUUAAAUAUUCUUUCCCUCUCUUAAUAUUUCCUGCCAAACCUUAACCCAUUCUUAAUUUUCUCUCUCCAUGGCUCCCAUAGAAAGAGCAGCAGAAAGGAUUUCCUCUUCCUCUAGGGGAAGAAGUGACUCACCAUUACCACCUAAAGGCCAAGGAUAAGGUAGGCAAGACAAGAAGCACCCCAACCCCAACCCCAACCAAAAUUUGCUUUGACCUAGCAUUGUAAGAAUGCUGCACACCAUGAUGUAUGCGCUAGGCUAAACAACAAAAAGAUCAUAUCCAUAAAGUACAUGGACACAGAGUUGCUAGAGCAACUCAGGCUUAAGGAAGAAGUGGAUAGGUUCUUGGAUAAUCGGGUGGACAAGAUCCAUCCAACUGCGCUACCUGACAUAAAGGGACACUACUUUAGAAUUUUUUGGUAGUUUUCAGGCCAUCCUAUGGGCCAUGGAUAGGUAAGAUAGGGGCAGGAUCGAGUUCAGACUCUUGAGGGUGGACAAAGUCAUGAAUAAGGAUGAGUUUAACUCUGUAUUUGGCUUCGAUAAUGAGGGACUCUAGGAGAUCCCUCAAAACAAACUAGAGUACGACAACAUUUCUUUUUGGAAGAUGAUUACCUCUAACACCGAGAUAUAUAACUCCAACUACUGCAAGUCAUCCAGAUUAAUAAACCUGGUAUUAAAAUGCCUACACAGACUUGCAGCCCAUACCAUUAUGGGGUGCAGUGAUAGCCUUGGCAUGUUAAAUGCUAAUGAGUUGUUCUUCUUGUGGUGUAUGGUGACUAGACAAAGAUGCAGUACCAGAUACUUGUUGUGCUAGCACUUCAGGAGGAUUUCUCAUCAAGCCAUGGGUCACAUAGUGGUGGGAUAGUGGUGGGAGGCCUCAUCACAGCACUUGCCUUGCCCUGCACUAUGGGUUUGUGCCAAUACAUGUUAGGUUGUGCCCCAUCUUAAGCACCACUCGGAUUAAUUAGACUAUCGGCAUAUCUAUGGGGCUAUGCAGAAGAGUAGGGGACGCUUGCCUAUUGAUCUAUGCACAAGGGAACGUCAUUCCUCAAAGAGCAGCAAAAGAAUGAGGGGAGUCUUCCCAAGCAUAGGAGCAACAGUAGCAAGAAGAGUUCGAUCCCCUCCUUCAAGGAUCACCAGACAGGGUCCCUCCAUACACACCACCACCUACA